UACGAAGGGGGCUAGCGUUGUUCGGAAUUACUGGGCGUAAAGCGCGCGCAGGCGGUCUUCCAAGUCGAACGUGAAAUCCCCGGGCUCAACCCGGGAACUGCGUCCGAUACUGGAAGGCUUGAAUCCGGGAGAGGGAUGUGGAAUUCCAGGUGUAGCGGUGAAAUGCGUAGAUAUCUGGAGGAACACCGGUGGCGAAGGCGACAUCCUGGACCGGUAUUGACGCUGAGGCGCGAAAGCCAGGGGAGCAAACGGG
rnacentral:rRNA from 1 species